UACGGAGGGUGCGAGCGUUGUCCGGAAUCAUUGGGCGUAAAGGGUGCGUAGGCGGCGCGGUAAGUCGGGUGUGAAAUCUCGGAGCUUAACUCCGAAACUGCAUUCGAUACUGCCGUGCUUGAGGACUGGAGAGGAGACUGGAAUUUACGGUGUAGCGGUGAAAUGCGUAGAUAUCGUAAGGAAGACCAGUGGCGAAGGCGGGGUCUCUGGACAGUUCCUGACGCUGAGGCACGAAGGUCAGGGGAGCAAAUGGG
rnacentral:rRNA from 1 species